rnacentral:lncRNA from 10 species
AAACCUUAGAGUAGGGUGGAGCAGUAGUAAGCAUAUGAUGGCCAGUCAUAUAAGUCUAGAAGUCGAUUUCAUAUUUAAAGUAUUAAAGUGAAACAAAAUUUGCUACCUUCUGUAUCAGUGCAGUGCCUUCAACAAGACCCUAAGAUGGAAUUAGAAGUGCAAGAGACUUUAGAGGGGGAAACACCUCUAGAAUAAACAGGGGGUGAGUAAAGUGGAUAUGGACAGCCUUCAGACCAUACUACAAGGCUGACAUCUGAAUAAGCUGAAUCGUUUCUUCUGCGGAGGCAAGAAUUGAGUUUGCUUCAGACCUGGACAGAACCACUGCCGCUAACAUAUUUCGGUGCCCUGUGACUCGGAAAUGUUCCACCGGCUGCAGUUUAGGCUAACCCUGCUUAUUCCUGUAAACCAACAAGGGACCUCUGCAGUUCAGAAGAAACAAGAGGGAUCGGCCAUCAAGCUCCAGAUGAUCCUCAGUGAGGGAUACUGUCCUCUCAAUAUUCAAGAGUCACCCUUCUACAGAAGAUCCCUAGACUUCCCAUCAGUGGGACAUGACAGAGGUGAGAAACCUGAGAUUCGUGGAAGUUAAAAGACUUGUGCAGCAUCCACAGCUACACUGGCCAUUCCUGUCGUCUUCAAUAUGAGUUCUUCCAUGCUUACGAAGUGCCUAAAAACAGUAAGUGCUAAAUAAAUAUUUAUUGAAGAAAUGGUUUAAUAAUUAUUACCUACAAGAGAAAAUUAAGGCAUUUAGAGUUUAAGUUCUUCACUAAAUUUGCACAGUUUUUAGGGGCAGUGUUGGGUCAACUGACUCCAUGUUUGGUGAUCCUUCCAUUUUAGACUGCAGGGCCAUUAGAGUUAAAACCAAUUUAAAGUUAGUAACUAUUGGUUAGAUGUUUUGUAGUCAUUUUUGUCUUUUUAAGGGACAAUUUUCCUAAAACCUUUAAAGGAAUAGCACUUUCAAGCAAAACUCAGCAACUGUUGAGUCCUUUAAAACCUUAUCCUGCCUGAAUAAUUAAAUUGUGGCCGCUAUCACAGAAACAAACGGGAUUAGUCAUUGCUUUGUAAAGCAUGAAGACCAUUAAACAGAUGCAUGUUAAAUUAGAUUUUAGUAAAAUUCCUUAAAGCAGGUUAGCAAACCCAAUACAGGUGAAAUAAUAAUUGGGGUAUAACAACUAGCGUAACACUUCUUAGAUAUUUUCUACAAUGCCCACUUGCUCACUUAUUUCUGAAUGAUAUGAAAUGAACAAAACAUUUUUUCCAUUAUGAUUAAAAUGUAAGGGGGUUGGGAGAGAGAGAGAGAGAGAGAGGGGAAGAGAUGAGAUAAGGUCAUUUUAGUAGCCAAACAGGACAUCUUGGGUACAUAAUCAGGCCCAAAUUAUGAAAAAAUUAAGUAUUAAUCUGUAUGUAUCUUAUGAUACUUCAUUUAUCAUAAUGGUGUCAAUAUUACUGAGCAAAAUACCCAUUGGUUCAGGUGCAUAUUUUAAAGGGUAAUUGAAUUAAAUUUAUUUAAAUACUCUAUUUGUAUUGUUUAAAUUAUGUUCCAGCAAAAUAAUGUCUAAUAAUGGAAUAAACUAUGACAAGGCAUGUAACUCUAAGCGGCACUCCAUUUUCCCUCUCCUCUU